UACGUAGGGGGCGAGCGUUGUCCGGAUUUAUUGGGCGUAAAGAGCUCGUAGGCGGUUCGGUAAGUCGGCUGUGAAAUCUCCACGCUCAACGUGGAGGGGUCAGUCGAAACUGCCGUGACUCGAGUCCGGAAGAGGCGAGUGGAAUUCCCGGUGUAGCGGUGAAAUGCGCAGAUAUCGGGAGGAACACCAAUGGCGAAGGCAGCUCGCUGGGACGGUACUGACGCUGAGACGCGAAAGCGUGGGGAGCAAACAGG
rnacentral:rRNA from 1 species